rnacentral:rRNA from 1 species
UACGGAGGGUGCGAGCGUUGUCCGGAAUCACUGGGCGUAAAGGGCGCGUAGGUGGCGACGCAAGUCAACGGUGAAAGCUCGACGCUCAACGUCGAGUCGGCCGUCGAGACUGCGUGGCUCGAGCACUGUAGAGGCAGAUGGAACUCCGGGUGUAGCGGUGGAAUGCGUAGAGAUCCGGAAGAACACCGGUGGCGAAGGCGGUCUGCUGGGCAGUAGCUGACACUGAGGCGCGACAGCGUGGGGAGCAAACAGG